rnacentral:rRNA from 1 species
GCAAGGAAUAUUGCACAAUGGGCGAAAGCCUGAUGCAGCGACGCCGCGUGAGGGAAGAAGGCCUUCGGGUCGUAAACCUCUUUUCUUGGGGAAGAAUAAUGACGGUACCCAGGGAAUAAGUCACGGCAAACUACGUGCCAGCAGCCGCGGUAAUACGUAGGCGGCGAGCAUUAUCCGGAUUUACUGGGCGUAAAGCGGGUGUAGGUGGUUUUUCAAGUCGGAUGUGAAAUUUCCCGGCUCAACUGGGAAGGGUCAUUCGAUACUGUUAGACUUGAGGGCAGCAGAGGGAGAUGGAAUUCCCGGUGUAGUGGUGAAAUGCGUAGAUAUCGGGAGGAACACCAGUGGCGAAAGCGGUCUCCUGGGCUGUUCCUGACACUGAGGCCCAAAAGCGUGGGGAGCAAACAGGAUUAGAAACCCUUGUAGUCC